AUUGGAUGGGUUGUUCUCAAUCAAGUCUGAUGCCUUCAGCUUUGGAGUAGUUGUACUUGAGGUUAUCAGUGGAAAAAGGAGCACAUGAUUUCACCAGUCAGAACCUGGUCUGAGUCUUUUAGGUUAUGCAUGGAAAUUGUGGAAAGAAGGAAAGGCUUUAGAUUUAAUGGACCAAACAAUACAUGAAACUUGUAAUGCUGACGAAUUUUUAAGGUGUGUUAACAUUGGGCUUUUAUGUGGACAAGAGGACCCAAGUGAUCGUCCGACAAUGUCAAAUGUAGUUUUCAUGCUUAGUAGUGAAAUUGCAACUCUCCCAACUCCUAAACAACCAGCCUAUGUUGUAAGAAGAUCCAUUCCUAGCGCAACUUCUUCUACUACCAAACCAGAAAGUUCGAAUGAAUUAACAUGUACCAUUGAAGAAGGCGGAUAAUGGUGGAUCACAUAAGGGCUCUCAUGAUUCUUGUUUUAUCUUUAUCAGUCUUGCAGAAGCUUCUAGUAUUCUCACUAUGGUUCUCAUAGGAACAAUUACGGCAUAUUUCUUGUCUGUCAUAUUGAUACUUUUUUUAUAUUGUCCCUGAUAAGUGAUAACAUUGUAUCCAAUGUAAGUCUGAUUGUUUCCUAUUUGAACCUCCUUUGUAUUUA